rnacentral:lncRNA from 1 species
CAUGGGUCCAAUAAGUUCUUAUCCUCUCUGGCAGAUAACUUCAUUUUCCAAAGGAUGGAGGAAAAAACAAGGGGGUCUGCUAUCUUGGACCUAAUCCUUACCAACAGGGAGGAAAUGGUUGAGGAAGUAAGGGUGACUGGGACCCUGGGUGGCAGUGACCAUGCUAUCAUUGAGUUUUGGAUAACAAAAGGAGGAAGAUCUGAGAGGACUCAGACUUCAAGGUUAGAUUUCAGAGGAGCAGAUUUUGAUGGACUCAGAAGGAGGGUAGGAAGGAUCCAUUGGCUGGAUGUCUUAAAGGACAGAAAUGUCCAGGAAGGAUGGGAAAUUUUGAGAAAGGAGAUUCUAGAGGCACAAUCUUUAACAAUUCCUAAAAGAAAAAAGAAUGGCAAGCAUCUAAAGAGACCAGGGUGGAUGAACCCUGAACUUAAUAACUUGCUAAAAAGAAAAAAAGAAAUGUUUAAAAAAUGGAAAGAGAAGAAUAUCAAAAGAAGAAUAUCAAAAGAAGAAUAUAAUGCAAUCUGCAGGAACUGCAGGAUAAGUGUCAGAAAGGCUAAAGCUAAAAAUGAAUUGAGGAUUGCAAGAGAGGCCAAAAACAAUAAAAAAGGGUUUUGGGGGUAUGUCAGAAGCAAAAGAAAAGUCAAAGAAGCUAUAGGACCUUUACAAAAUGAGAAGGGUGAUUUGGUCAAAAACGACAUUCAGAAGGCAGAACUUCUGAACUCCUAUUUUGCAUCUGUUUUCUCUCAGAAAGGAAAGGAAACAUCAGUUGGCCUUCACUGUGCUGUUGAGGGAAUAAGAGAAUCAAGGCUCUGUAUGGACAAGAAGAAGGUGAGGGAACACUUAGCAAACUUAAAUGUAUUCAAGUCUCCAGGCCCAGAUGAAUUACAUCCUAGGGUGCUGAAGGAAUUAGCUGAUAUAAUUGCUGAACCACUCUCCGUGAUAUUUGAGAACUCAUGGAUAACAGGAGAAGUCCCAGAAGAUUGGAGAAGGGCAAAUGUUGUACCUAUCUUUAAAAAAGGAAAGAAGGCUGAUCCAGGCAACUACAGGCCUGUGAGCC